AUUGAACGCUGGCGGCAGGCCUAACACAUGCAAGUCGAGCGGCAGCGCGGGGCAACCUGGCGGCGAGCGGCGAACGGGUGAGUAACGCGUAGGAAUCUACCCAGUAGCGGGGGAUAGCCCGGGGAAACUCGGAUUAAUACCGCAUACGCCCUAAGGGGGAAAGCAGGGGAUCGCAAGACCUUGCACUAUUGGAAGAGCCUGCGUUGGAUUAGCUAGUUGGUAGGGUAAAGGCCUACCAAGGCGACGAUCCAUAACUGGUCUGAGAGGAUGAUCAGUCACACCGGAACUGAGACACGGUCCGGACUCCUACGGGAGGCAGCAGUGGGGAAUAUUGGACAAUGGGGGCAACCCUGAUCCAGCCAUGCCGCGUGUGUGAAGAAGGCCUUCGGGUUGUAAAGCACUUUAAGUGGGGAGAAAGGCUCGGUAGCUAAUA
rnacentral:rRNA from 1 species